rnacentral:lncRNA from 1 species
UCGCUUCCAUGUCCUAGGGCAAUCGCCUGCUAAUCAUGGAUGGACAAAUAUGGGAGUCGAGCCAGGCCACUCGAUCCUAUCUUCGUCGUAUGUUGUGCUCUUCUUGACCUGAGAUCUGUUUGGGACAUCAUCCUAUGGUAAUAGGAAUCUCAUCUUGCAUCUUUCAUCUUUUCGAGUCUCAUGUCUCAUGCCCGAUCUACCUCCACUUGGAGCUCUACCUCAUUCUGGGCUCUUCCUGGCUCCCAAAGCUGCACCUCGCACUGGGCUCCCCAUCAGGUAAUAAUAUCCUCUCGUCUUCUUCUUUCCUUCCAGAACAAUCCUAUCGCCGCGUAGCAUCUUCAGAAUUCCUCCACCAGCCACCAUCCUGCAGCCUCUCGAAUCUAGUCUACUUAGUGAGAUAAGAUUCUGUCUGAAAUCGGGUAUAUAUCGGACCUCCUUCAAUCUCUUCAC